rnacentral:rRNA from 1 species
UUCNNAGCGCAAUANCCUCGGGAAACUGAGGCUAAUAGCGCAUACCAUACCACCACUGGAAUGAGUGGUAUGCCAAACGCUCCGGCGCCGAAGGAUGUGGCUGCGGCCGAUUAGGUAGACGGUGGGGUAACGGCCCACCGUGCCAAUAAUCGGUAUGGGUCAUGAGAGUGAGAACCCAGAGACGGAAUCUGAGACAAGAUUCCGGGCCCUACGGGGCGCAGCAGGCGCGAAACCUUUACACUGCACGACAGUGCGAUAGGGGGAUCCCAAGUGCACAGGCAUAGCGCCUGUGCUUUUCGACACCCUAAGGCGGUGUCAGAAUAAGGGCUGGGCAAGACCGGUGCCAGCCGCCGCGGUAAUACCGGCAGCCCAAGUGAUGGCCGAUCUUAUUGGGCCUAAAGCGUCCGUAGCUGGCCACGCAAGUCCAUCGGGAAAUCCACCUGCCCAACAGGUGGGCGCCCGGUAGAAACUGCGUGGCUUGGGACCGGAAGGCGCGACGGGUACGUCCGGGGUAGGAGUGAAAUCCCGUAAUCCUGGACGGACCGCCGAUGGCGAAAGCACGUCGCGAGAACGGAUCCGACAGUGAGGGACGAANGCCAGGGUCUCGAACCGGAUUAGAUACCC